CCCCCCUCUCUCCUGCUCGUAUUAUGAAUAGCUAGUGAAGCACUAUGAAGGGAGCAGAGGCAGGCAGCCGUGUACGCUUUUUGUGCCAAACCAGCCCGGACAGAUCUGUUAGUUCCGUCGCAAAUUCAAAACCAGGACAAGGACACUGAAGAA